rnacentral:rRNA from 1 species
GCACUCCCGGGGCGUCUCUUUCUCAUUGCGAGUGGAGGCGCACCCAGAGCGUACACGCUGAUACCCGAAAGAUGGUGAACUAUGCCUGGCCAGGACGAAGCCAGGGGAAACCCUGGUGGAGGUCCGCAGCGAUUCUGACGUGCAAAUCGAUCGUCGGAGCUGGGUAUAGGGGCGAAAGACCAAUCGAACCAUCUAGUAGCUGGUUCCCUCCGAAGUUUCCCUCAGGAUAGCUUGCGCUCACGUGAACGAGUCUCAUCCGGUAGAGCGAAUGAUUAGAGGCCUUGGGGUCGAAACGACCUCAACCUAUUCUCAAACUCCAAAUAGAUGAGAACUCCGGCUUCCUUGAAACUUUGUUUUUGAAGCCGGGGGCUCGGAUCAGAGUGCCAAGUGGGCCAAUUUUGGUAAGCAGAACUGGCGCUGUGGGAUGAACCAAACGUCGAGUUAAGGCGCCCAAAUCGUCGCUCAUGUGGAAACCAUGAAAGGCGUUGGUGCUAAGACAGCAG